GGCAUCGCUCAGCUCACCUCUAAGGGAGCUUUCGGGUCUUAUUCCCCAGAAUCAUCCUGUGAGCUUUACCAGAUUUAUUAUGUAGCGUCGUGUCCGUCCCGAUUGUAGGGACAAGAAGAACUGGGAUGGUGUGGAGGAAUGGCUAUUUGUAUGUAAGUAGAUGGGAAUUAUGUAAAUUGUUUUCUAUUUUCAGAGCUUCUUGUCCACUUAAUGGAGGUAACUACCCACUUA